rnacentral:rRNA from 1 species
GAUGAACGCUGGCGGCGUGCCUAAUACAUGCAAGUCGAGCGAACGGACGCGAAGCUUGCUUCUCUGAUGUUAGCGGCGGACGGGUGAGUAACACGUGGAUAACCUACCUAUAAGACUGGGAUAACUUCGGGAAACCGGAGCUAAUACCGGAUAAUAUUUUGAACCGCAUGGUUCAAAAGUGAAAGACGGUCUUGCUGUCACUUAUAGAUGGAUCCGCGCUGCAUUAGCUAGUUGGUAAGGUAACGGCUUACCAAGGCAACGAUGCAUAGCCGACCUGAGAGGGGGAUCGGCCACACUGGAACUUGGCCACGGUCCAGACUCCUACGGGAGGCAGCAGUAGGGAAUCUUCCGCAAUGGGCGAAAGCCUGACGGAGCAACGCCGCGUGAGUGAUGAAGGUCUUCGGAUCGUAAAACUCUGUUAUUAGGGAAGAACAUAUGUGUAAGUAACUGUGCACAUCUUGACGGUACCUAAUCAGAAAGCCACGGCUAACUACGUG